AUUAAGGUUGCUGUUGGAAGUAGGGUUAAAUGUUGGAAGAAUAAUGCAAGCUUUUAUUUAGCUUUGAUGGAUAACAGCUCAACUUGCAUUCAGCUAGUCUUAGUGCUAGUAUUAGCUGUUUGUUAUUCCCUCAUCAUUGUAAAGCUUGUUAGUGGCUGUAAAGCUUGUUAGUGGCUUAAGUUAGAGAGAGUGGAGGUCAUCAUUAUACUUGCUUAGCUGCCAUUAUCCCCUACCUUUUGUUCUCCAUUUUUUUUCCCGUUUCUUCUUCUAUUUAUGUAUGAACUUGUAACUGUUUUAUACAUGAAACAUACAUCAAAAACUCUACAUGGUAUCAGAGCAGUGAUCCCUAUUGGACCUGGCUCUGUGUUCUUCUGAAAUCCUACCAAAUCCAAACCAGUUAAGCCAUUAUGGCAACACCAGCAGAGAAAAUUUCAAAAAACGAAACCAUAGAUACCAACCCAAUUCAACGUUUGAGCUCUGUGCUCCUAAACGAAUUCAACUAUCUGCCCUGGUCACGAGCUAUUUCUCUCACUCUUGGAGGAUGUGGAAAGCUCUCGUUCAUUCAAAAGGAUGACAUCAUACCCGAAACAACUUCACCAGAUUAUGCAGCAUGGGUGUCCCAAGAUCAACUUAUCAUGUCUUGGCUGUUAAACUCUAUGGAACCAAAGAUGGCUAAGAUUUUCAGUUAUUCAGUGUCAUCUCACCACUUUUGGAAUUCUGUACGAGACAUGUAUGGGGAUCUAAACAAUGUUGCGCGAGUCUUCCAGCUAAAGAAAGACCUUACGGAACUACAACAGGGAAAUCUCUCAUUUGUUCAACAUCUUGGCAACUUGAAGGCCAAAUGGAAUGAAUUGGAUCUCUACAGACCUCAUACCACGGACACAACCAGUCUUUUAAAACGUGCUGAAGAAGACAAGGUGUUCCAGUUGCUUGCUAGCAUUGGACCAGAGUAUGAAGAUCUUAAAAGUCAUCUCUUUAUGACACCUGAACUUCCUACUUUCCAGAUGGUCUGCAAUGUUAUUCAACGCGAAGAAGUAAGAAAGAAGGUCAUGAACGCAGACGUGGUCGUUGGAGAAUCAGAUCUUAGGCCAUCAGAAGCGAGAGCCUUCACCUUCUCCAGACCAUACAAGGGAAAACGACCAGACUUAAAGUGUUCUCACUGUGUGAAGAUAGGUCGUCCAGGCGUUGGACACAUAAAAGAAAAGUGCUGGAUUCUUCAUCCAGAACUUAAACCCAAGUUCAACGAUGAUGGAAGAGCACCAAGAAACCAAAUGAAGCCUGCCUACACUCAUAGAGGAAACCUUGUUUGCGACAAUGUCUCCAAUAAUGUGAUAAACUCUUCCUCUAGUCCCAUUACUCUCAUAAAUGAAUUUGCUAACUUCUUGCAACAGAAACAAGGAACAACAAAUCAUGAAAGUCCCACAGCCAUGCUCGGCAAGUUUGCUGGCUUCCUCGAACAAUCAACCUCAGUGUCACAAAAUGACGUGCCAGGUAUUGUUGCAACUAUUUCCAUUGCAUUGGAUCUUAGUAGUAGUCGUGAUUUUUGGAUAGUCGACUUAGGAGCUUCUGAUCACAUGACUAACGAUGCAUCUUUACUAAAUGUUUUUCAAAACUUCUCCACUCAUUCUUUUGUCUCCGUAGCUAAUGGCACCAAAGUUCGUAUAGUAGGCAGAAGGAAACUCAAAAUCUUCUUGAGUAAAAAAGAAUCCCUUGUCAUGCAUGUCCCUUCUUUUCCUUUCAAACUGCUGUCAGUAGGAAGAAUAACACAAUUGCUCAAUUGUCUUGCAAUUUUUUCCACUCACUGUGUGAUUUUCCAGGAUCGAGUUUCGAAGGAAACGAUUGGUAAAGGGUUCUUCCUCAAUGGACUGUACUAUGUCAACUUCUCUUCAAGUUUUCCAAAGAGUUUCUACGUAAACUCAAACACAGUAAACAAGGAGCAGCUGUGGCACAUGAGAUUAGCUCACCCUUCUUCACAUGUUAUAUCUUUUUUUUUUCCUAGUUUCUGUAAAGUGAUCCCAGAUUGUGAAGUUUGUCACAAAUCUAAGUUUACCAGGUUACUCUUUCCCCAUUCUCUCUCUUGAGCUACCAAAGCUUUUGAAAUUGUCCAUUCCGACAUUUGGGGACCUGCAACCUUAAAGUCUUUUGAUGGUUACAGAUUCUAUAUAUCUUUCAUUGAUGAUUUCUCUAGAACUACCUUUGUGUAUUUACUUAAAUUCAAGCACGAAGCUUUCCAAUGUUUCAAAAAUUUUCAUAACUUAGUUCAAAAUCAUUUUAACUCUAAUAUUGGCAUCUUAAGGUCUAAUAAUGGGUCUGAGUACACUUCCAAAAUCAUGACAACUUACUUAAGUGAGCAUGGAAUUUUGCAACAAACAAAUUGUGUAGGAACGCCACAACAAAAUGGCAUUUCAGUCUUUAACCCUAGUAUCAGUCUUUAACCCUAAUACAGGAUAUUAAGCACUGGAUUAAGGUUGCUGUUGGAAGUAGGGUUAAAUGUUGGAAGAAUAAUGCAAGCUUUUAUCUGGCUUUGAUGGAUAACAGCUCAACUUGCAUGCAGCUAGUCUUAGUGCUAGUAUUAGCUGUUUGUUAUUCCCUCAUCAUUGUAAAGCUUGUUAGUGGCUGUAAAGCUUGUUAGUGGCUUAAGUUAGAGAGAGUGGAGGUCAUCAUUAUACUUGCUUAGCUGCCAUUGUCCCCUACCUUUUGUUCUCCACUCUCUUUCCCGUUUCUUCUUCUAUUUAUGUAUGAACUUGUAACUGUUUUAUACAUGAAAUAUACAUAAAAAACUCUACAAUUGGUACAACACCCAAAUGCCAUCAAGCUUUUGGGGCACUGCCAGUGGAACUCAACUCACCAUCUGUUUUACAAGUACUACGAUGGCGAUCUUUAUAGUUGGCUGCACGAUAAAUCGAGGCUUUGGGCUAUCUCGUUGUGGGAAUUGGUUGCAACCAAAUUACAUUACUUUCUUUCGAUCGCCUUGAUUUGCGUCCAUGAAGUAUAUCACUGACAGAGGCCUCCCAUGAAAGAAGUUGUUCAAAUGUUAAAAGAAAAUUCGAUAAUGCACAUCAAAGUCCUAUUUCUGCUUUGAUUUGCUUCCUUUUCCUUGUAAUCUUGUGGUUGAAACGUAUUGUGAAAUUAAUGAUGUUUCCAGCCGGGCAAUUUCUUGUUUCAGAAUCUCUACCAAAUAUAACUGCAUUGGUCUUGUUCAUGUAGUGUGAAAUGAAUAUUAGGCAGCUCCAUGCACAGAAAUGUUUCCGAGUUAUUUCCCUUGUCUACCUUUUACAAGUUUUACAAGUAAAAAUCUUCAUACGCAGACCUACUUGCAACAGACCAAUUGAAUUUUAUCGUUGUCUCCGUGAAUGAACAUAGAAUUCAUGUCUCUGCGUGAAUGGACAUACAUAAACUUGUUCAUUCGUGCGCGCAUGUGUGUGCGUGAGAAAGAGAGAGAGCAAAUUGGAAAUCUUUCUCGCCAUCUCUCCCGCUGUGUUUGCAUUAGUGAAAAC
rnacentral:lncRNA from 1 species